GACGAACGCUGGCGGCGUGCCUAAUACAUGCAAGUCGAACACAGUGGGGACGGGUGAGUAACCCGUGGUUAACCUCCCAUCAAAGGGGAUAACACUUGGAAACAGGUGCUAAACCUGUACUGAUGGAUGCACCCGCGGUGCAUUAGCUUGUUGGUGAGGUAACGGCUCACCACGGCCACGAUGAAUAGCCGACCUGAGAGGGUGAUCGGCCACACUGGGACUGAGACACGGCCCAGACUCCUACGGGAGGCAGCAGUAGGGAAUCUUCGGCAAUGGACGAAAGUCUGACCGAGCAACGCCGCGUGAGUGAAGAAGGUUUUCGGAUCGUAAAACUCUGGUGUUAGAGAAGCGGUAUCUAACCAGAAAGCCACGGCUAACUACGUGCCAGCAGCCGCGGUAAUUC
rnacentral:rRNA from 1 species